rnacentral:rRNA from 1 species
UACGUAGGGGGCUAGCGUUGUCCGGAUUUAUUGGGCGUAAAGAGCUCGUAGGUGGUUCGGUAAGUCGGAUGUGAAAUCUCCAGGCUCAACCUGGAGGGGUCAUUCGAUACUGCCGUGACUAGAGGUCGGUAGGGGAGUGUGGAAUUCCUGGUGGAGCGGUGAAAUGCGCAGAUAUCAGGAGGAACACCCGUAGCGAAGGCGGCACUCUGGGCCGAUUCUGACACUGAGGAGCGAAAGCGUGGGGAGCGAACAGG